rnacentral:rRNA from 1 species
UACGUAGGGCGCAAGCGUUGUCCGGAAUUAUUGGGCGUAAAGAGCUCGUAGGUGGUUUGUCGCGUCUGCCGUGAAAGCCCGGGGCUUAACUCCGGGUCUGCGGUGGAUACGGGCAGACUAGAGGCAGGUAGGGGAGAACGGAAUUCCCGGUGUAGCGGUGAAAUGCGCAGAUAUCAGGAGGAACACCGAUGGCGAAGGCAGGUCUCUGGGCCAUAACUGACGCUGAGAAGCGAAAGCAUGGGGAGCGAACAGG